rnacentral:tRNA from 1 species
AUAGAUUUAAGUUAAUUUUAAACUAUUGGUCUUCAAAACCGAAAAUUUUAAUCUGUU